GGAAAAACAAUGAUGAAGAUUAGUAACUGAAGGUACUUUGCAAGGGAGUAAUUGCCGUAGACUGGAAGCAAUUAUCAAAGAUUACUGCAGCGAAUUCACUUCGGAGUUAUUUAUUUGUAAAAAUAAAUCGGUUAAUCGCCGUUAUUGAUGCCAAGUGUACUGACCGUUAAGGUUUGGUAAACCAGGGUGGUAACGCGUUAACUCGUCCCUUUU
rnacentral:ncRNA from 1 species